rnacentral:rRNA from 1 species
AACGUGCCCUCCGGUCUGGGAUAACCCUGGGAAACUAGGGCUAAUACCGGAUACGUGCUUUGGCAGAAAGGUUUACUGCCGGAGGAUCGGCCCGCGUCUGAUUAGCUAGUUGGUGGGGUAACGGCCUACCAAGGCGACGAUCAGUAGCUGGUCUGAGAGGAUGAUCAGCCACACUGGGACUGAGACACGGCCCAGACUCCUACGGGAGGCAGCAGUGGGGAAUAUUGGACAAUGGGCGCAAGCCUGAUCCAGCCAUGCCGCGUGAGUGAUGACGGCCUUAGGGUUGUAAAGCUCUUUUCUCCGGGACGAUAAUGACGGUACCGGAGGAAUAAGCCCCGGCUAACUUCGUGCCAGCAGCCGCGGUAAUACGAAGGGGGCUAGCGUUGCUCGGAAUCACUGGGCGUAAAGGGCGCGUAGGCGGCGUUUUAAGU